AGUUGCCCUGCUAGUGCUAUUUCCAUUUUUAUCACCCGAAUAACGGACUUCUUUCGGUAAUUUCCGGAGAUCAGACCCUCUUGCUACUGUGCUGUUGCUAUGGAAAUUCUCCCAAACAGCAGGAAGGUGGGUCUGUUAGAAUCAGGGCUCUGAGGGAGCUCAACUGAGGCAAAACUAAGCUGAUAAGGACAUGUCUCAUUGUCCUGGGCAGUUAGAGACGGAGCAAUCAAUGGUGUUAUUUCCUGGGCCAGACAUUCUAAAGGGUGACCUAUAAUGGUGAUAUCUUGCAUGGCACCAUCCUCGAUCCUCUGACUUUGCCCCUGAACCAAGAAGCAGCGUGGCCUAAUGGCUGUUGCUAUGGAAAUCUUUCCCAUACUACCCGCAGACGUGACUCACGGAGCCUCGGAACCUUUAACUCUGCAAUCCUGCGGUGUGUCAUGAGGAGAACUCAGUACAUUUACUGUAAGAAGAGAAGGCAAAAUCUACUUUCUGAAAGACAUCUUCACUAUCGUUCCGCAGAUAAGGUCAUGCUGUGGAAAUCCUCAGGCUGCGGGACACUCUCUCUCUCCAUUCUAUCUUGAGCCUUCAGCUGACUGAGAUAUUGGCUUCUGGAGUCAUCAUUAAUCACUUCGUGACUUCAAGGGAGAAACUUGAUUGUUUUUUAACGAUGUACUCCUCUCCGGCAUUAAAUAUGAUACUGUGAUGAUUACAGUAUUAUCAAGAUGCCGCUGCUAUUUUCCUUCAGAGCAAGAGUUUGGGAAAAAAUCAACUUCAGGAAAUUAGCAAAUGGGGAUCAGUAAUAAUAAAAAUAGUAUUAAUCAUA